rnacentral:rRNA from 1 species
UAACACGUGAGCAACCUGCCCCUAACUCUGGGAUAACGCUUCGAAAGGAGUGCUAAUACCGGAUAUGACCCUGUAAGACAUCUUCUGGGUUGGAAAGUUUUUCGGUUAUGGAUGGGCUCGCGGCCUAUCUACUUGUUGGUGAAGUAAAGGCUCACCAAGGCCACCACUGGUAUCCGGCCUGAAAAGGCUACCGGACCCCCUGGGACUGAAACCCGGCCCAAACUCCUACCGGAGGCAACCGUGGGGAAUAUUGCGUAAUGGGCGAAAGCCUGACGCAACGACUCCCCGUGAGGGAUGAACGUCUUCAGAUUGUAAACCUCUUUCAGCAGGGACGAAACGAAAGUGACGGUACCUGAAGAAGAAGCACCGGCUAACUACGUGCCAGCAGCCGCGGUAAUACGUAGGGUGCAAGCGUUGUCCGGAUUUAUUGGGCGUAAAGAGCUCGUAGGCUGUUAGACACCUCGGAUGUGAAAACUGGGGGCUCAACUCCCAGCCUGCAUUCGAUACUGUCUGACUAUAGUGUGGUAUGGGUAACUGGAAUUCCUGGUGUAGCGGUGAAAUGCGCAUAUAUCAGGAGGAACACCGAUGGCGAAGGCAGGUUACUGGGCCACCACUGACGCUGAGGAUCGAAAGCGUGGGGAGCAAACAGGAUUAGAUACCCUGGUAGUCCACGCCGUAUACGGUGGGCGCUAGAUGUGGGGACCAUUCCAUGGUUUCUGCAUCGCAGCUAACGCAUUAAGCGCCCCGCCUGGGGAGUACGGUCGCAAGACUAACACUCAGAGGAAUUGACGGGGGCCCUCACAAGCAGCCGAGCAUGCGGCUUAUUCGAUGCAACGCUAAGAACCUUACCUAGGCUUGUCAUAUAGAGAAAUCCCACAGA